CACACACAACACUCCUCCCCUUCCUCCCCUUCCCCUUCACCUCAACUCCCCCUCCCCCCUUCACUAACGGCGACGGCGACAGCGAGCGGCGGCCUGGCGGCAGGCGGGCGGCGGCCUCCCCUCCAGCGGUGGCAGGGCCGCGGCCACCGAAGCGGCAGAGAUGGCGAGAUGGGAGGCAGCGGACGGCUGGCGGCCUCUCCUCCGCUGGAAAUGGCGGGAGGGGAGGCAGGGCGGCGGAGGCGUCCGGGAGGCGGCGCACGGCCGGGCGGACGGCAGCGGCGUGUUUUGUGAAUUUUUUUUAUUUUUGGAAUGAUUUGUAAAUUUUGUUGUAGAUUAUUUUAGAUUUGGGGAUAAUUUUGUGAAUUACUUGUGGAUUGCGGAUGAUUUUUUGGAUGGGCAAUUGUGGAUGAUUUGUGGGGAUUUGAGGGUGACGAUAAUCUUUAGUCCCGGAUUGGGUGUCCCGGUUUGCACCCGGGGCUAAAAGGUUGCAAAUCGGGAGUAAAAGAGCCAUUCCACGUUUGAUAAGUACUGCUAUUCCAUAGGAGAGCAAAGCGCUGAAGAGUUCAACCAGUUGAAAAAUCCUCGCACAUCUUGACUCUUCUUGUCUGGCGUUAUUUGACAUCAGUGGCUUCCCGGCACGCACGGUAAAACAGACAGGUUGUAUCGUUUGUUCGUGAGCUCGAUCACAAAGCAGGCCAGCUGCCUGCUGAACAAGCAUGUCGCCCACUCUGAGCAGCUUCCGUCUUCUUCUGAUUCGACUUGUUUUGGUGGCUCUUCUGAUAGGCAGCGGCCUCCCCAUGCUCUCGGCUCAGCAAGGCAGCCCAGGAGUCCAUAAUCCGCAUGGUCCACCGCAGAUCCAUCAUACCCGUUUUAUCUAUCACGGUGAGGCAGGCACUGUCAUCGGGAACUAAUUAAACGCGUAGAUCGUGUUGUUACCUGUUCUGCUCUGUAUUAUACUCCUACUCCCUCAGUUGAAAUUCUAAUGCGUGAUUUGACUUUUGUUCUGUUGAUUAUUUCGGAAAAUUACUCCUUGGCUAUAUAAUUGCAAGGGCUCAACUCUGUUUUACCACAAAGUUAACUGCAAUUAUAAAUUUAGCAGAUAAUUGAGCAGUAUGUACA